GAUGAACGCUGGCGGCGUGCCUAAUACAUGCAAGUCGAGCGAACGGACGAGAAGCUUGCUUCUCUGAUGUUAGCGGCGGACGGGUGAGUAACACGUGGAUAACCUACCUAUAAGACUGGGAUAACUUCGGGAAACCGGAGCUAAUACCGGAUGAUAUUUUGAACCGCAUGGUUCAAAAGUGAAAGACGGUCUUGCUGUCACUUAUAGAUGGAUCCGCGCUGCAUUAGCUAGUUGGUAAGGUAACGGCUUACCAAGGCAACGAUGCAUAGCCGACCUGAGAGGGUGAUCGGCCACACUGGAACUGAGACACGGUCCAGACUCCUACGGGAGGCAGCAGUAGGGAAUCUUCCGCAAUGGGCGAAAGCCUGACGGAGCAACCCCGCGUGAGUGAUGAAGGUCUUCGGAUCGUAAAACUCUGUUAUUAGGGAAGAACAUAUGUGUAAGUAACUGUGCACAUCUUGACGGUAUCUAAUCAGAAAGCCACGGCUAACUACGUG
rnacentral:rRNA from 1 species